GGGUUGUGAGGUUAAGCGACUAAGCGUACACGGUGGAUGCCCUGGCAGUCAGAGGCGAUGAAGGGCGUACUAAUCUGCGAUAAGCGCCGGUAAGGUGAUAUGAACCGUUAUAACCGGCGAUACCCGAAUGGGGAAACCCAGUGUGAUUCGUCACACUAUCAUUAACUGAAUCCAUAGGUUAAUGAGGCGAACCGGGGGAACUGAAACAUCUAAGUACCCCGAGGAAAAGAAAUCAACCGAGAUUCCCCCAGUAGCGGCGAGCGAACGGGGAGGAGCCCAGAGCCUGAAUCAGCAUGUGUGUUAGUGGAAGCGUCUGGAAAGGCGCGCGAUACAGGGUGACAGCCCCGUACACAAAAGCGCAUGUGCUGUGAGCUCGAUGAGUAGGGCGGGACACGUGGUAUCCUGUCUGAAUAUGGGGGGACCAUCCUCCAAGGCUAAAUACUCCUGACUGACCGAUAGUGAACCAGUACCGUGAGGGAAAGGCGAAAAGAACCCCGGCGAGGGGAGUGAAAAAGAACCUGAAACCGUGUACGUACAAGCAGUGGGAGCCCCACCACCAAAGCAUUUGCUGUACCGCGUUGACGGAGCGAAGCGACGUCAAACCGAUAAAACAGCAGUGUAAAGUGAGCCGCA
rnacentral:rRNA from 1 species